rnacentral:rRNA from 1 species
GACGAACGCUGGCGGCGUGCUUAACACAUGCAAGUCGAACGGAAAGGCCCUGCUUUUGUGGGGUGCUCGAGUGGCGAACGGGUGAGUAACACGUGAGUAACCUGCCCUUGACUUUGGGAUAACUUCAGGAAACUGGGGCUAAUACCGGAUAGGAGCUCCUGCUGCAUGGUGGGGGUUGGAAAGUUUCGGCGGUUGGGGAUGGACUCGCGGCUUAUCAGCUUGUUGGUGGGGUAGUGGCUUACCAAGGCUUUGACGGGUAGCCGGCCUGAGAGGGUGACCGGCCACAUUGGGACUGAGAUACGGCCCAGACUCCUACGGGAGGCAGCAGUGGGGAAUAUUGCACAAUGGGCGGAAGCCUGAUGCAGCAACGCCGCGUGCGGGAUGACGGCCUUCGGGUUGUAAACCGCUUUCGCCUGUGACGAAGCGUGAGUGACGGUAAUGGGUAAAGAAGCACCGGCUAACUACGUGCCAGCAGCCGCGGUGAUACGUAGGGUGCGAGCGUUGUCCGGAUUUAUUGGGCGUAAAGGGCUCGUAGGUGGUUGAUCGCGUCGGAAGUGUAAUCUUGGGGCUUAACCCUGAGCGUGCUUUCGAUACGGGUUGACUUGAGGAAGGUAGGGGAGAAUGGAAUUCCUGGUGGAGCGGUGGAAUGCGCAGAUAUCAGGAGGAACACCAGUGGCGAAGGCGGUUCUCUGGGCCUUUCCUGACGCUGAGGAGCGAAAGCGUGGGGAGCGAACAGGCUUAGAUACCCUGGUAGUCCACGCUGUAAACGGUGGGUACUAGGUGUGGGGUCCAUUCCACGGGUUCCGUGCCGUAGCUAACGCUUUAAGUACCCCGCCUGGGGAGUACGGCCGCAAGGCUAAAACUCAAAGGAAUUGACGGGGCCCCGCACAAGCGGCGGAGCAUGCGGAUUAAUUCGAUGCAACGCGUAGAACCUUACCUGGGUUUGACAUGGAUCGGGAGUGCUCAGAGAUGGGUGUGCCUCUUUUGGGGUCGGUUCACAGGUGGUGCAUGGCUGUCGUCAGCUCGUGUCGUGAGAUGUUGGGUUAAGUCCCGCAACGAGCGCAACCCUUGUUCACUGUUGCCAGCACGUUAUGGUGGGGACUCAGUGGAGACCGCCGGGGUCAACUCGGAGGAAGGUGGGGAUGACGUCAAGUCAUCAUGCCCCUUAUGUCCAGGGCCUCACGCAUGCUACAAUGGCUGGUACAGAGAGUGGCGAGCCUGUGAGGGUGAGCGAAUCUCGGAAAGCCGGUCUCAGUUCGGAUUGGGGUCUGCAACUCGACCUCAUGAAGUCGGAGUCGCUAGUAAUCGCAGAUCAGCAACGCUGCGGUGAAUACGUUCCCGGG